rnacentral:tRNA from 1 species
GCGCCUGUAGCUCAGCUGGAUAGAGCACCGGCCUCCGGAGCCGGGAGCGGGGGUUCGAGUCCCUCCAGGCGUACCA